UACGUAGGGUGCAAGCGUUGUCCGGAAUUAUUGGGCGUAAAGAGCUCGUAGGCGGUUUGUCGCGUCGAAUGUGAAAUCCCGGGGCUCAACCCCGGGUCUGCAUUCGAUACGGGCAGACUAGAGUUCGGUAGGGGAGUCUGGAAUUCCUGGUGUAGCGGUGAAAUGCGCAGAUAUCAGGAAGAACACCAACGGCGAAGGCAGCUCGCUGGGACGGUACUGACGCUGAGAAGUGAAAGCAUGGGGAGCGAACAGG
rnacentral:rRNA from 1 species